GCAGUCGAGCGACAGAUAAGGAGCUUGCUCCUUUGACGUUAGCGGCGGACGGGUGAGUAACACGUGGGUAACCUACCUAUAAGACUGGAAUAACUCCGGGAAACCGGGGCUAAUGCCGGAUAACAUUUAGAACCGCAUGGUUCUAAAGUGAAAGAUGGUUUUGCUAUCACUUAUAGAUGGACCCGCGCCGUAUUAGCUAGUUGGUAAGGUAACGGCUUACCAAGGCAACGAUACGUAGCCGACCUGAGAGGGUGAUCGGCCACACUGGAACUGAGACACGGUCCAGACUCCUACGGGAGGCAGCAGUAGGGAAUCUUCCGCAAUGGGCGAAAGCCUGACGGAGCAACGCCGCGUGAGUGAUGAAGGUCUU
rnacentral:rRNA from 1 species